rnacentral:rRNA from 1 species
CAGACCACCAGCUAAGGUCCCAAAAUAUAUGUUAAGUGGAAAAGGAUGUGGCGUUGCCCAGACAACUAGGAUGUUGGCUUAGAAGCAGCCAUCAUUUAAAGAGUGCGUAAUAGCUCACUAGUCGAGUGACACUGCGCCGAAAAUGUACCGGGGCUAAACAUAUUACCGAAGCUGUGGAUUGUCCUUUGGACAAUGGUAGGAGAGCGUUCUAAGGGCGUUGAAGCAUGAUCGUAAGGACAUGUGGAGCGCUUAGAAGUGAGAAUGCCGGUGUGAGUAGCGAAAGACGGGUGAGAAUCCCGUCCACCGAUUGACUAAGGUUUCCAGAGGAAGGCUCGUCCGCUCUGGGUUAGUCGGGUCCUAAGCUGAGGCCGACAGGCGUAGGCGAUGGAUAACAGGUUGAUAUUCCUGUACCACCUAUAAUCGUUUUAAUCGAUGGGGGGAC